rnacentral:rRNA from 1 species
CAUGAAGCUGGAAUCGCUAGUAAUCGCAGAUCAGAAUGCUGCGGUGAAUACGUUCCCGGGUCUUGUACACACCGCCCGUCACACCAUGGGAGUUGGAAAUGCCCGAAGUCGGUGACCUAACCGAAAGGGAGGAGCCGCCGAAGGCAGGUCUGAUAACUGGGGUGAAGUCGUAACAAGGUACC